CUCUUCUGGCACAGGCUGGAAUACAAUGAUUCGAUCUCGGCUCACUGCAACCUCUGCCUCCCAGGUACAAGCAAUUCUCCUGCCUAGCCUCCUGACUAGCUGGGAUUACAGGCACCCGUCACCACGCCCGACUAAUUUUGUUUGUAUUUUUAGUAGAGAUGGGGUUUCGCCAUGUUGGCCGGGCUGGUCUCAAACUCCUGACCUCAGGUGAUCCGCCCGCCUCAGCCUCCCUAAGUGCUGGGGUUAUAGACAUUAGCCACCACGCCUGGCCAAAUUCGUGUUUUUAUAUCCCUUGAGGAGGCGUUGCCAGGGCCUGCCACACUGGGGCAAGCAGCUAUUUUAGAGUCUUUUUCCUGUUUACCUAUUUCAAGUCUAAUGAAAAUGUCAAUUCUCCUCUUUUAAAAGACUUAGGAAAGAGGUCACAUGCUGGCAGCCUGUGAGCUGCUGUGCCCUCAGUUGUUUUGUUUGAGCAGCAGGUUUUUUUCAUUGUGUGUGUGUGUGUUUUUUAAUGAAUUCACAGUCAGUCUUUAAAACUCAGAAAAUCUAACAGAAAAGUCUGGACUUCUAGUUUUUCUUGGAAAAAAAGAUUGUCUGACUAACCUGGGCCCAAAUUCCCUUAUGCUGACACGUGACAGGACUGAGCAGCCACUGUUCUGGUCCCCCACUCACCACAGGCCUGGCACUGUUUUACUUUACACCCAGCAGCUUCUUUCCCUUUUAUCACCUGGCUAUCUGCUGACUUGAGAGUACAAUAGGUAGAAAUAGUCACCAGAAGUCCACAGUUUCAGUCCCCACUGCACUGGGAAACCCUGGGCACCUACCAUCACAAUUUUAGGCCCUUGUUGCAUAUCAGGGAAUUGGGACCAGGGUGGUGAAGUGACUUGCCUGAGGGCAUCAGCCCAGUGUUCUUUCCAAUGCACCUGUGAUGAGUAACCUAAAUCCAGACAAAAGUGGUUCUGUUGCUCAGAGGAAAGGUAGGGCAUCGGGAGCUGAAGGGGCAGGACGGAGGGUGUGGUGCAGGGUGGAGGGUGUGGUGCAGGGUGGCUGUCUCACUUACCAGAUGUGUCUAAAAGGACAAUCCCCAUUCUCUUCCUGUUUCCUCUAUAGACGAAGACUGUUCACCACUCCUCUUCCUCGUUCCUCCACACCUGCUGCUUUGGAUUCAGAGGAGAAGCUCCCAGAAUCCCUCAGAGUGCACAGCCUCACUCUGGUUUGCAGAAACUCUGCCAAGUUCAUCCAGGAUCCUACCAAGAAUCCUGGCUUCCCACCUGCGAGCAUGUACCAGUUCUUCAAACCUGAUUCCUCAGACCACAGUCAUCUACAAGAUAGACAAACUGUUCUCUUGCUUACUCUGGCCCUUUCCCUCCCUUGAGUUUUAUUAGAUGACCCAAAACAAAACAAAAAACUCCUUUUAAAUUCUCUUAAAGAUCCUGCAAGGUGUGAAGGGAGGAGAAAAGGCAGGGGGUGGGUAUGAGGAAAAUUCCAUCUUGAUGUACAAAAUUUUUAAAAGUCUAUACACUUAAAGGAGAAGUGAAAAGUCAGACUUUUACAUGUGGAAGAGACAGGAAAACUGGGGGCAAUAUGGCGUGGGGGAAGGAGCUCUGGUCCUGGAAUCAUCAGAUGUGGGUUCUAAAUUCAUCUCUGCUACCAACCAGCAGUGCAACCUUGGAGAAGCUGUGUAUUUUUCUCAGUACCAGUUCCUUCAUCUUUAAAAUGAGAAGACUGGAUUGAACAAUUACUAAGAUUCCUUUGAUCUCUGCUCUGCAAUGUUUUCCCUAGCACCUAAAAUAAAAUAAACCAGAAAUUAAUGAAAUAGUGAAAA
rnacentral:lncRNA from 13 species